GCACUUCUGAAGAGUCCAAUAAUAGGACGAGAGAGCCGUCCAGUGU
rnacentral:hammerhead_ribozyme from 1 species